AUCCGACUGAUGAGUCAGAAAUAGGACGAAAUGCGCAUCAUGGAU
rnacentral:hammerhead_ribozyme from 1 species